UUGACAGGAGGUUGAAACCUACUUUUUUGAAGGUUUGCUGAAAUGGAGAGAAUUGAACCUUACGGAACACUUUGGGAAAUUUUACAAAGAAGUUAUUGACAAAUGUCAAUCAUUCAAUCAGCUGGUCUAUCAUCAAAACGAGAUAGUUCAGAGUUUGAAGACUCACCUGCAAAUCAAGAACAGUUUUGCUUAUCAACCCCUUUUGGAUUUGGUUGUACAGCUGGCACGAGAUCUGCAGACAGACUUCUAUCCACAUUUUCGGGAUUUUUUUCUGACUGUCACCUCAAUCCUGGAGACUCAGGACACUGAGUUGUUAGAAUGGGCUUUCACCUCGCUGUCGUAUCUGUACAAGUACCUGUGGAGGCUCAUGGUGAAGGACAUGCCCAAUAU